rnacentral:rRNA from 1 species
GAAAGUAAAUAAGGGCGUAUGGGGAAUGCCUAGGCUCUUGGAGGCGAAGAAAGACGUGGUAAGCUGCGAAAAGCUCCGGGGAUUUGCAAACAAGAUUUGAUCCGGAGAUUUCUGAAUGGGACAACCCGUCAGGUAGAAGACCUGACACAUCGCAAGAUGGGCCAACCCUCUGAACUGAAACAUCUUAGUAGGAGGAGGAAAAGAAAGAAACAUCGAUUUCCUGAGUAGCGGCGAGCGAAAGGGAAAAAGCCUAAACCGGUAUUGUUACGGCAAUGCCGGGGUUGUAGGACUGCAAUAUUCAAGUAACAAUGAACUGGAACGAUCUGGAAAGUUCGUCCAUAGAGGGUGAAAGGCCCGUACAGGUAAGUUCGUUAUGCGAUAGCAGUAUCCUGAGUAGGGCGGGACACGAGGAAUCCUGUCUGAAUCUGCCGGGACCACCCGGUAAGGCUAAAUACUCCCAAGAGACCGAUAGUGAACCAGUACCGUGAGGGAAAGGUGAAAAGAACCCCGAACAGGGGAGUGAAAUAGAACCUGAAACCAUACGCUUACAACCGGUCGGAGCAGUUUCGUGCUGUGACGGCGUGCCUAUUGAAUAAUGAGCCUACGAGUUACUAAUCACUGGCGAGGUUAAGUGCACGGAUGCACGGAGCCGAAGCGAAAGCGAGUCUGAACAGGGCGGCUAGUCAGUGGUUGUAGACGCGAAACCUUGCGAUCUACCCUUGAGCAGGUUGAAGGUUGGGUAAAACCAACUGGAGGACCGAACGAAUAAGCGUUGAAAAGCUUCUCGAUGACUUGAGGGUAGGGGUGAAAGGCUAAUCAAGCUGGGAAAUAGCUCGUACUCCCCGAAAUGCCUUUUGGGGCAGCGUUGUAAUAAAGAGUCUACUGGAGGUAGAGCUACUGAUUGGAUGCGGGGGCUUCACCGCCUACCAAAUCCUGACAAACUCCGAAUGCCAGUAGUAUGAUUUACAGCAGUGAGUGACUGGGUGCUAAUGUCCAGUCGCAAAAGAGGAACAACUCAGACCAGCAACUAAGGUCCCGAAGAAUAUGCUAAGUUGAUCUAACGAUGUUUUGUUGCAGAGACAGCUAGGAUGUUAGCUUGGAAGCAGCUAUUCAUUCAAAGAGUGCGUAACAGCUCACUAGUCGAGCGACAGAGCGUGGAUAAUAAACGGGCAUCAAGCAUAUCACCGAAGUUCUGGGCGCGAGAGCGCGGUAGGGGAGCAUUCCAUUCAGCGUCGAAGCAGUUUCGUGAGGAAUUGUGGAGCGUAUGGAAAAGCAAAUGUAGGCAUGAGUAACGAUAAUGCGGGAGAGUAACCCGCACACCGCAAGACCAAGGUUUCCUGAUCAACGCUAAUCGGAUCAGGGUUAGUCGGGUCCUAAGGGUAAGCCGAACGGCGAUCUCGAUGGAUAAUCGGUUAAUAUUCCGAUACUAACAUAUACCUCGAUGGAGAGACGAAGGAACGUAAGUGCCGCCACCUGACGGAAUAGGUGGUUAAAGGGCGUAGAUAUAGGGGCAGAUUAAGAGUUAGUCCUUGCUGAAACCUGACAGUACAGAGAGCCUACGGGCAAUUUGAUAGAGCACCCAAGUCGACUUCCGAGAAAAUCUUCUAAGUUAUAGUAUAUGUUACCCGUACCGUAAACCGACACAGGUGGUCGAGGAGAGUAUCCUAAGGUGCUCGAGUGAAUCACGGUUAAGGAACUAGGCAAAUUAACCCCGUAACUUCGGGAAAAGGGGUCCCUAUGAAAGUAGGGCGCAGCGAAGAGGUCCAGGCGACUGUUUAUCAAAAACACAGGGCUCUGCAAAUUCGAAAGAAGACGUAUAGGGCCUGACACCUGCCCGGUGCUGGAAGGUUAAGAGGGGAUGUCAUCGCAAGAGAAGCAUUGAAUCGAAGCCCCAGUAAACGGCGGCCGUAACUAUAACGGUCCUAAGGUAGCGAAAUUCCUUGUCGGGUAAGUUCCGACCUGCACGA